ensembl:lncRNA
CUCUGUGACAGCAAUGUCCUUGCUUCUUGUCCCAGCAGCUCAGCUGACGAAGUCUCAGGAUUCUUGUGGAGGCCCUGGAAAGGACUCAAUGAUGAGGCUCAACAGCCUUCCCUUUGUGCUGUCCUUGUGGUCCUGCAGGGCAGUGUCCUCUUAAGCACUGCACUUAAGAAUGGUGAACACUGCCCCUUUCCUUCCCCAUGUCGAUGGCAGACACAGGCUUAAAAAAUGGAGCAUUCUGCAUAAACGUGGAGAUUAUAGUUAAAUCUCUACAGUCACGUAAUUUGUUUUGUGUGAAAAAGGAACGAACUGUUCCACACUGGUGGAAAGAUAGGAAUAUUUUUAGAUAUUUGUCUUUGUGUCUUAGGAUUCUGCCCAUUUUCUUUUAAAAUUGCAAACAUACACGUGUGAAUGAUUUUAAAAAGUGAUUUUGCCAUUUUUAAAAUGGUUUUUAAUGAUUGAAUACCAUCUAGCCAACAUGUACUGACAUUGAUGUCAAAGAUAUAUUGAAUGUAAAAUGCAAGUGGCAAAACACUGUGUAUAAUAUGAGGUAAAAUCAAGGUGUAUGUAUUUUGUGUCUAUAAUAGAGUGAAAGAUUUGGAAAGAUAUAUGCACAUGAAAUUGUUAACUGUGGUUUUUUUUGAGGGGUUGGGGUUUGGUCUCACAGGGAUUUUCUGGGGCCCUUCACUGUCUUAUUUUUUUCAUUUUGUUCUGUUUGAAAUUUUUGUAAGUAUGUAUUACUUCUGUAAUCAGAAUUUUUUUAGAAAGUAUUUUACUGAUUUAAAGGCUUAGGCAUGUUGAAAUGCCUGCAAAACUAUUUAGUGCUCAGCUUUAGUUUUUCUAAUCCAAGAAGGCAGGGCAAUUAACCUUUUUGGUGCCAAUAUAAAAUUUAAAUGUUUGUAUGUUUUGCCUGCUUUGUGGAUGAAAAAUAUUUCUGAGUGGUAGUUUUCUGUUAGCUAGACCAUGUCUUAUCUUGUUUCAAAAUAAAUAUUUCUGAUUUUGUAAAAUGAAAUCUUCCAAUUAAUUAGUAAGGAUUCAUCCUUACUCCUUGCUAGAUUAAGCCUGCCUAAGUCACUUUACUAAAAGGUCUUUAUUAAUCCAGUAUUUUAAACAUCUUUCAGUUUAUGUAGGUAAAAGUAGAAGCAUGUUUGUACCCUCCUUGUAGUUACAGUGACGGCUUUCCAUGUUGAGACUCUCAUGGCAUCUUGUAUCUUAAAGUUCAUGUGAGUUUUUACUGUUAGGGUGAUUAACAUGCAUAUUGGACAAAAUGUUAAGUCUUUUCCUCUACCUACAUUUUUUGUUGUUGUUUUCUUGACUAGUAAUAGUAGUAGAUACCUUUAAAAAUGUUCUCUCAAGAUCCUUAAGAACCUCUUGGAAAUGAUAAAAUAGUAACAGAAGAAUAGUUGUUUUAAAUAUUUUUUAAGAACUUGAAUAUGCGUCAAUAUGAAAGUUUAACAGUGCUUCAUAGAAUAUCCAGAAUUUACAUUCUCAUGAUAGACUUAUGUAACAGCAAAUAGGACAUUUUACUGCAGAGAACUGUUUGAGAGUGAAACUGUUAAAAAUUAUAUUUUUAUUAUAUUUUCUAAGAAAAAGAGUAUUGUUAUGUUCUCCUAACUUCUGUUAAUUUCUAAGUGAUACUUGUAUAAAGCAUUGCAAAUUUAAAUGAGAUUUGCAAAAAUUAAAUAAUCAUUGCCCUAUUUUUGUUUUGUUAUGUAAAUCCUGAGUUCUCCUUUGCUCUUUCUUCCACUUAGGUUUGCUUAUAUAUUUAUUAAGUUGAAUUUGAUCUGUAUGGGCAAAGCUUUAAAUUUAUUUUUAAAGUGUUCUAUAAAGGGAGAAGUGUUAAAAAUAUUUUCUCCAGGACUCUUCAGGCCCAAGUCAGCUAGGUAGUAGAAUCUAGUUGUUAGCCAAGGAUGGAACUGAAUUGUUUCAGCAUAAGGCUUUCACUGGUCUGGAAACCUCAGUUCAUUAAAGCUCUUCUUUAAAACUUGUGUUUAGAGUUAAGCAAGACCUUUUUUCUCUCUCCAUGAGUUGUGAAAUUUACUGCAGGAAGCUGAUGUGGCUAACAAGUUUAUUUUAAGAAUUGUUUCAAAAUGCUGUUGCUUCAGCACUCCAACUUCUAAUCAAAUUUUUUGGAGACUUACCAGAGUUUGCUUGUAUUCACACCACAAAAAAGCACUGGAUCCUUUCUAAUUGUACAAAAAUUGACCACUUGCAAGGUCAAAAAUAUAACCAGAUCCAAAUCAUCACACUCUUCCCACAAUAGUUUUCAGUAGCUUAUAUGUAUACAUUUCUUUUCUGUAUAAAGUUCACUUUAGGACUUUGAAUUCAGCACCUGUUUUACUACAUUUUAGUCAUGUGAAGACUGAAGUUAUUUUGUAAUAACUAGUUAUUUUAUAUGCAAUAAUUUAGUGUUCUGAUUAAAAACUUCGUCUUCACUUUUGAGAAAUGAUUUUAGCAUUUAUAAAAUAAAUUCCAGUUUAUUCAUUAAUAGCUUUGUAUUGCCUUUCCUGCUAGAUUUGGCUUUUCCCCCUCCCUUUGGUUAAUGGCUGAGGUGGGUAGGGUGAGAUUAGCAGGUGUAUAUAACAUAUUUUGGCCAUGUGUAUUAUGAUAUUUUGUUGUUUUUUGUUAUAUUAUUUAAAUUUAGGUAGUUUUCCAGUUUUCAUCUUAAUGGAUAAAAAUUUGUAUUUUGAGCUCUGAAGGCUACCAUCCUAGUGUUAGUUGUCUGGGUUGUUUCCUUUAGACUGAAAUCAUUGUUUUGUUACUGAUGCCGAAAUAUUGAUUUGACAAAAGAGGUGAAGGGAGUGGAAGAACAAGAAAGUUGUGUGUCAUUACUAUUAGAGAACUCCGAAAAUGAGAAGGAAUAUUUGACAAGCAUAGUUCUUUUUAGUCAAAUCUGCUGUUUAAAAGGAGGUAACCUCCAGGCGAGGUUGCUCAUGCCUAUAAUCCUGGCACUCGCCUGUAAUCCCAGCGCUCGGGAGGCUGAUGCAGGAGGAUUGCUGUAAGUUUGAGGCCAGCCUGGGCUGCAUAGUGAGUUCAAGGCCAGGAAAACAAACAAACAAAUAAAUAAAAGUAAAUAUUUCUUCAUCUGUGAAAUGAGAAUAAUACCUAUCUUCCAAGGUUAUGAGAGUUCAACGAGACCACAUCUUUAAAGCACAUGCUAUAAAUGUUAAUUUCCAUCCUAAUACUCUUACCCUUCCGUGGGUUUGCCUUGACCUAGAAAAUUCCACUGAAACUUAUUAUAGUAAGUAAACAAAUAGGUCAAACUCUUAAAAAUAUUGAAAUUCUUUAAAAUUAUUUUUCAAAAUCAUUAUUCUUACCAAAUUCAGUCUAGCUUUCCUAAAAAAAUUGACUUAGCCACACCCUAAUAAUCAGUUUUCAUUUGAGUGAUACACUUAGUACAAUAUAGAUGUGUGUCUCAGUAUAAUAGAGUCAGAGAGGGUCAGAGCUGUAGAUGACUUUAGAGAGUAUCUAAUUCCUCCCCUUCAUUUUACAGGUCAAGCAACUGAGGCUCAAGGGAGAGUUAAUUUGUUCAAAGAUAUAUAGCUAAUUAGUGGCAGGCCUGUGACUGGGACAUAAUUUGAAGGUGAAAAAUUUUACCAACCUACCUGUCCUGGGAAGUCUCAAAUUUUUUUUUCAAGUAUUUUUUUCACUGUACCCUAACUUUCACUACAUACUAAAUCACACUUUAUAAUUGAUAUAAUAGGACAAUCUUAAAUACAUAUAUCUUCAAAUUAGGUUAAUACUACAUUAAUGUUUGGGUGGUAAGAUUCUAUUUUGAAGUCUAAAGUUUUCAGAGAGGCAUACAGAUUUUUGGCAUUUACUACAUGAUUAUUGUAUAUCAUUUAAUGUAACAUUAAAAUUAUUAUGUAAAAGCCAGGCAUGUGUGGUGGCACACAUCUGCAAUCCCAGCACUUGGGAGGCUGAGGCAGGAGGAUCUGGAAGUUCGAGGCCAACCUGAACUGCAUAGUGAGUUCAAGGGCAGCCUGCACUACAAAGCGAGACCCUGUCUCAAAAGAAUAAAUAAAAAAAAUUACUGUGUAAGUAUAUUUUACCAUCUUGUCUAUACUUAGUAACAUAUUUGCAUUUUUUAUUUGCUAUAGCAGACUUCAAUGUAAUUUCUGUUAAGAUUUUGUUUUUCAUUACUGUGACACAAUUUAACCUGAUGUCUGAUUCUUAUAUCAUUGUAUUAGUAUUAUGAAUAAUCAUGUGAAAUGUUUUGAGAGAGUAUUAUAUUUGUGAAUAUAAUUUUAUGGCUUUUAGUUCUUUUAGUAGGACCCAUUCUGUCGAUAUGGAAAACUAAGAAAAUUGAUUUCUGCUGUAUAAUCUGG